rnacentral:rRNA from 1 species
AUUGAACGCUGGCGGCAUGCCUUACACAUGCAAGUCGAACGGCAGCACGGGAGCAAUCCUGGUGGCGAGUGGCGAACGGGUGAGUAAUAUAUCGGAACGUGCCCAGUCGUGGGGGAUAACGUAGCGAAAGCUACGCUAAUACCGCAUACGAUCUAUGGAUGAAAGCGGGGGAUCGCAAGACCUCGCGCGAUUGGAGCGGCCGAUAUCAGAUUAGGUAGUUAGGUGAGGUAAAGGCUCGACCAAGCCGACGAUCUGUAGCUGGUCUGAGAGGACGACCAGCCACACUGGGACUGAGACACGGCCCAGACUCCUACGGGAGGCAGCAGU